UACGGAGGGUGCAAGCGUUGCUCGGAAUUAUUGGGCGUAAAGGGCGCGUAGGCGGCCUGAUAAGUAGGGGGUGAAAUCCUGCGGCUUAACCGCAGGGCUGCCUUCUAAACUGUCAGGCUGGAGCACAGUAGAGGCAGGUGGAAUUCCCGGUGUAGCGGUGGAAUGCGUAGAGGUCGGGAAGAACAUCAGUGGCGAAGGCGGCCUGCUGGGCUGUUGCUGACGCUGAGGCGCGACAGCGUGGGGAGCAAACAGG
rnacentral:rRNA from 1 species